CUAUCAUCCCCGAGAGCAGUAACAGUUAUCUAAAUUGCUAUCAGUGGGUCUCGGAUCUGGGGUGGGGGUACCACAAAGGGCCUGAUGAUCUUUCUUAUUCUUGAACUCUGUGAGAUCUUAUCUGGGCAGCUAUCAUUUUGAAAACCACUUUCUUUUCUCUCCUGUAAGCCUGGUUCUGGCAGCAACUCUCCUGUUGUUUUCCUGUAAGCUGACCUCCUCGUCUGUUCUUACUCUGUCACUGAAUCUCUGCUGUUUUAAAAGCAUCUGUUCUAAUGCAACCUGCUGGGCGCCAAGGUUCUGGGGCCUUGUCACAGGUGCCAGAUGAUUUGUAUCGACCAGAAAACUGGCCAGCGGAACCAGGAUGUCUUCCAGAAGCUUUCUGAGAGCCGGGGGAGAAAGGUGAACUUUGGCGUGUACCUGAUGCACUCGUCCUUGGAUUUAUCGUCUCCGUGUUUCCUGUCAGUGGGAUCUGAGGUACUCCCUGUGUUGAAAGACUGUGGAGUGUCUUGAUUCACCCUCUUCCCAGCCAUACCCACGUGCUAUCUCCUGACAUUUCUCCCAAGAGCAUUAAAGUUUUUCUUU
rnacentral:lncRNA from 1 species